GCCCCCGUUGUCUAAUGGCUAUGACGUCAGACUUCUACUGCAAUUGAAUCUGGAGGUUGCGGGUUCGAGUCCCGCCGGGGGUU